AAAGGAAUCCACCUCUGAGCACCACCCCCAGGACCUUGCGCCCCGGUCCUAGUAGCGGGGUGGCAGUACAGGGGCUGCAGAGGGCAGUGUUCCUCACCUCAGAGGGUGAGUCAGCGAGAGAACCUCUGAGCAGCCUAGCAGUGCCUGUAAAAUCCCCAUGGCAGGAAUCCCAGAGCAAUUUACUCCAAAUUGCUCCUUCAGCCUGGGGUAGGGCACACAGGUGUCCUCUGGCCCUAGCCUCAGGGCAAAGAAAACCAGGAGUUCCAGCCCCAGACGGGUGGUGCCAUCCCACACUCCGCAUCCGCCAGGGGUCAAGAGGAGCAAUCCUUCUAGGCUCAGCAGCGGUGAAGCCAGAAGCAGGGAGCUCUUGGCGGAGGGCCCUGGGAGAAGUGGGGGUCCCAUAACCCCUGUCUCUGGUAGAAUCCCAGACAUCUGGCACUGAAGAUCUCCCCGUCUGCAUUAAUGGAGGAAGCUCCGACAGCUCUGGACAGAUGCCGGGACGGGUCCUAGGUGUGGGGUGAAGGCGACCAGAUCUCAGCGCCCCAUAGGAUCCCCUCUCCUGGCUAUGGCGGGGAGGUAGUCGGCGCUUGGCGGAACUGUCCCUCGCACACGCACACCCGGGCAUAGGGGGGUGGAGCCGGACAGUGGGCAAGAGAUCGGAGGGCACUCGCGCCCUCGCGGGCGCCCGCCGGACUGCAGCGGCGCUUCGGGCCGCCCCGCCCCUGUGAGGAUCCGGGCUCGCCGGCCGCGGGCGCCCGUCCCCCGCCCCGCUCACUCACCUCCGGGUCCAGAGGCACUAGCUCCAUGAGCGGCCAGGGCUCCUUGAGCUGGGCGAGCGGCAUCUCGCCGCCGCCAGGUCACCCGCGCUCCUCCGGCGGCCCCGGCUGCGCCGCCUCCCGGGUCCUGGGGUCCCUGGCUCUGCGACCCGAACCGCCGCGCCCCCCCGAGCCCCUCGCGCUCCGGCUGGGCCGUCCGCCGCCGCCGCCGCGGCACUAGCACUUCGGCUCCCUCCGUCACCCGGCGCCGCCGCGCCCAUUGGCUACCUGCGCGGGGGCGGAGCCGGAGAAGCCCCGCCCCAGCCCCCGCGGCGCGGCAUUCCCAGCGCGGACCCCCGCCCCCGCCGCGCCCCGAGGGCCGGCCCCGCCCCUGCCGCGAGCCCCCGGCCCGCGCUCGGCUCCGCCGGAGAGGCCCUGCUGGCUCCUUCCCUUCCAGUGGUGUACCCCUGGACACACCACACCAGGGCCACCGUUCUCCCCCGCUCAGCUCUUUUGGAAUCCCAGCCCAGAUGUUCCUUCUCCUUCCAACGGGAGAGAAGCACCUUAUCCCCGACCCCAGCACACACAUUCACACUGGGUUCCUGGGCCUGAUCUAGGCUGAGGCUUGGAAGGAGCCUGAGACCCACUCCCCUUAGGCCCUCAACUCACCAGGCCCUAGAGAUCCCCUAUCCUCUAAUUUCUACCCCGCCCUGAAGCUAACACUGUGAUCUCCGGGCGAUCUCAGUGCCCCAGGCCAAGAUGGGCAUCAGCAGUUGUUACCACCAUCAGGACCCAUAGUGCCACCACAGAGUGAUUGAUUGAUCGAUUGAUUUUACAUAAUGUAUAUAAAUAUUACAUAUAUAAAUAAAUAUGUAUAAAUAAAUAUUA